rnacentral:rRNA from 2 species
GAUGAACGCUAGCGGGAGGCCUAACACAUGCAAGCCGAGCGGUAGAGAUUCUUCGGAAUCUUGAGAGCGGCGUACGGGUGCGGAACACGUGUGCAACCUGCCUUUAUCUGGGGGAUAGCCUUUCGAAAGGAAGAUUAAUACCCCAUAAUAUAUUGAAUGGCAUCAUUUGAUAUUGAAAACUCCGGUGGAUAGAGAUGGGCACGCGCAAGAUUAGAUAGUUGGUGAGGUAACGGCUCACCAAGUCUACGAUCUUUAGGGGGCCUGAGAGGGUGAUCCCCCACACUGGUACUGAGACACGGACCAGACUCCUACGGGAGGCAGCAGUGAGGAAUAUUGGACAAUGGGUGAGAGCCUGAUCCAGCCAUCCCGCGUGAAGGACGACGGCCCUAUGGGUUGUAAACUUCUUUUGUAUAGGGAUAAACCUACUCUCGUGAGAGUAGCUGAAGGUACUAUACGAAUAAGCACCGGCUAACUCCGUGCCAGCAGCCGCGGUAAUACGGAGGGUGCAAGCGUUAUCCGGAUUUAUUGGGUUUAAAGGGUCCGUAGGCGGAUCUGUAAGUCAGUGGUGAAAUCUCACAGCUUAACUGUGAAACUGCCAUUGAUACUGCAGGUCUUGAGUGUUGUUGAAGUAGCUGGAAUAAGUAGUGUAGCGGUGAAAUGCAUAGAUAUUACUUAGAACACCAAUUGCGAAGGCAGGUUACUAAGCAACAACUGACGCUGAUGGACGAAAGCGUGGGGAGCGAACAGGAUUAGAUACCCUGGUAGUCCACGCCGUAAACGAUGCUAACUCGUUUUUGGGCUUUCGGGUUCAGAGACUAAGCGAAAGUGAUAAGUUAGCCACCUGGGGAGUACGUUCGCAAGAAUGAAACUCAAAGGAAUUGACGGGGGCCCGCACAAGCGGUGGAUUAUGUGGUUUAAUUCGAUGAUACGCGAGGAACCUUACCAAGGCUUAAAUGGGAAAUGACAGGUUUAGAAAUAGACUUUUCUUCGGACAUUUUUCAAGGUGCUGCAUGGUUGUCGUCAGCUCGUGCCGUGAGGUGUUAGGUUAAGUCCUGCAACGAGCGCAACCCCUGUCACUAGUUGCCAUCAUUAAGUUGGGGACUCUAGUGAGACUGCCUACGCAAGUAGAGAGGAAGGUGGGGAUGACGUCAAAUCAUCACGGCCCUUACGCCUUGGGCCACACACGUAAUACAAUGGCCAGUACAGAGGGCAGCUACACAGCGAUGUGAUGCAAAUCUCGAAAGCUGGUCUCAGUUCGGAUUGGAGUCUGCAACUCGACUCUAUGAAGCUGGAAUCGCUAGUAAUCGCGCAUCAGCCAUGGCGCGGUGAAUACGUUCCCGGGCCUUGUACACACCGCCCGUCAAGCCAUGGAAGUCUGGGGUACCUGAAGUCGGUGACCGUAAUAGGAGCUGCCUAGGGUAAAACAGGUAACUAGGGCU